rnacentral:rRNA from 1 species
GUAAGGAGUUUUCGGCAAUGGGGGGAACCCUGACCGAGCAACGCCGCGUGAGUGAUGACGGCCCUAUGGGUUGUAAAGCUCUGUUAUAAGGGACGAACAGCUUUGCUAGGAAAUGAGCAGAGUCUGACGGUACUUUAUCAGAAAGCCACGGCUAACUACGUGCCAGCAGCCGCGGUAAUACGUAGGUGGCAAGCGUUAUCCGGAAUUAUUGGGCGUAAAGAGUGAGCAGGCGGCAGAUUAAGUUUGAGGUUAAAGCGUGGGGCUCAACCCCAUAAAGCCUUGAAAACUGAUCAGCUAGAGUACGAGAGAUGUGAAGGGAACUCCAUGUGUAGCGGUGAAAUGCGUAGAUAUAUGGAAGAACACCAGUGGCGAAGGCGCUUCACAAGCUCGAAACUGACGCUCAGUCACGAAAGCGUGGGUAGCAAAUAGGAUUAGAAACCCCGGUAGUCC